CCAAUAAAAAUUUCAUCAAUGUUGGAGUUAACUACAAGGAGUUAUAAGGGUUUACUUUUAAAAUAAUCUUUUCUCAUAAAAUUGAUAACUCCUAAUCUAUACAUCCAAAAAUCGCCAUUUUGGACACAAUCUAGAAAACUCAUCAAAUUAUCAUUUUAAAUUUUUCCAAAAUUUUUGAGGGUCAGAAAAAUUAUGAAACUGCCCCUGGCAGAACCCCUUACUUACAACGGUUGAACGAAAAUAAUAUUCCUUACAAAUAUUGAACGAAAAUAAUAUUCCUUACGAAUAUUAAACGAAUAUAAUGAAUAUUGAACGAUAAUAAUAUUCAUACGAAUACAAAAAAUAAUAUCUCUUUAGAAUAUAAAAAAUAAUAACCCUUACCUCAGAAGAAUACUUGAUACUGGAGUAGUGAAGUAACAUACUACUCUUCUUCUUUCUCUCUAUAGCUUCUCUUUCUAUAAUUGCUCUUGUGAGACUUAGUGAAUUGGUGAGAAAUGAAGGUAUAAUGAGCUUCUAUUUAUAGGAAAAUAUAGUUUCAAUAAUUGCACAUUUUGGGGCUCAAAAUAUUACAGUAUAAUACCUUCCUCUUUUUCUUUAUUUUUAAUUUAGUCCUGCAAGUAUUAUCAAACUUGCAUCACCUCCCCUAAUAGUAAAUCAUGUGAAUCAAUAGUAAAUCAUGUGACUCAAUAGUUCUAAACAUGUGAAAAAAUUAAUUAUAAUAUAGUACCUUCAACUAUACCUCUAUUUUUAAUUUAGUCAUGCAAGUAUUAUCAAUCUUGCACCAACUCCCCUAAUAGUAAAUCAUGUGAAUCAAUAGUACACCCAUGUGAAUAUAUAGUUAUAAGCAUGUGAAUUAAUAGCAAUUAAUUACUCAUUUAUCCGAUUAAUUACCCGAUUAGUCAAUAUAACUUUCAGAUAUCAAUUAUUAUCGAAAUAAAUGUCGAUUCUCACUAACACUAAUAAUCCCAACACAAUGAAACUAUCAAUUUCAUCUUUAAUCAACACGAACUUAUUCAUCAUUAAUAUUAUAACUCACAAUAUUGAACAACCAGGUCGUUCCUAGGAAAGAGAGGGCUUUUCGAUAAGGAUUUCUCCUUAUUGGCGCGCAAUUAGGUGACCAAACCUCUCCUUGACAGAACUUCUAGA
rnacentral:lncRNA from 1 species